UACGGGGGGGGGGCAAGCGUUGUUCGGAAUUACUGGGCGUAAAGGGCUCGUAGGUGGCCAACUAAGUCAGACGUGAAAUCCCUCGGCUUAACCGGGGAACUGCGUCUGAUACUGGAUGGCUUGAGAUUGGGAGAGGGAUGCGGAAUUCCAGGUGUAGCGGUGAAAUGCGUAGAUAUCAGGAGGAACACCGGUGGCGAAGGCGGAUCUCUGGGCCUUGCCUGACGCUGAGGCGCGAAAGCUAGGGGAGCGAACGG
rnacentral:rRNA from 1 species